rnacentral:rRNA from 1 species
UCCACGCUGUAAACGAUGUCAACUAGCCGUUGGUCUCCUUGAGGGGGCAGUGGCGCAGCUAACGCGAUAAGUUGACCGCCUGGGGAGUACGGCCGCAAGGUUAAAACUCAAAUGAAUUGACGGGGGCCCGCACAAGCGGUGGAGCAUGUGGUUUAAUUCGAUGCAACGCGAAGAACCUUACCAGGUCUUGACAUCCCGAGAAGUCGCUAGAGAUAGCUUCGUGCCUUCGGGAACUCGGUGACAGGUGCUGCAUGGCUGUCGUCAGCUCGUGUCGUGAGAUGUUGGGUUAAGUCCCGUAAG